rnacentral:rRNA from 2 species
UGCAGUCGAGCGAUCAUUCGACUUGUUGGAUGAUUAGCGGCGGACGGGUGAGUAACACGUGGGCAACCUGCCUGUAAGACUGGGAUAACACCGGGAAACCGGUGCUAAUACCGGAUAAUUCUUUCCUCUCAUGAGGGAAAGUUGAAAGUCGGUUUCGGCUGACACUUACAGAUGGGCCCGCGGCGCAUUAGCUAGUUGGUGAGGUAACGGCUCACCAAGGCGACGAUGCGUAGCCGACCUGAGAGGGUGAUCGGCCACACUGGGACUGAGACACGGCCCAGACUCCUACGGGAGGCAGCAGUAGGGAAUCUUCCACAAUGGACGAAAGUCUGAUGGAGCAACGCCGCGUGAGCGAUGAAGGCCUUCGGGUCGUAAAGCUCUGUUGUUAGGGAAGAACAAGUACCGGAGUAACUGCCGGUACCUUGACGGUACCUAACCAGAAAGCCACGGCUAACUACGUGCCAGCAGCCGCGGUAAUACGUAGGUGGCAAGCGUUGUCCGGAAUUAUUGGGCGUAAAGCGCGCGCAGGCGGUCCUUUAAGUCUGAUGUGAAAGCCCACGGCUCAACCGUGGAGGGUCAUUGGAAACUGGGGGACUUGAGUGCAGAAGAGGAAAGCGGAAUUCCACGUGUAGCGGUGAAAUGCGUAGAGAUGUGGAGGAACACCAGUGGCGA